CUGAGUUUGCUUCGCCGACGCUGUGCCCUAACAUUUUCGCCGGCCACAGUGAAGUAAUCAGCAAGGAGUUUGGGUUUGUGGAUGAUUUUGGGUUCCGGCAGCUAUCCCAUUUAGCAGCCUACUUAAUUGUCAACAGCAACACACUGCGACCGGGAAUCAAGAAACUACAGGCUGUGAAUUGAGGUUGAUGCUGUCAGGAGGGAGUUCCAGUCGCUAGUCCCCACAGCACGUAGUGCUAGAUCUC